AUGAACGCUGGCGGCGUGCCUAAUACCUGCCAGUCGAGCGAACGGACGAGAAGCUUGCUUCUCUGAUGUUAGCGGCGGACGGGUGAGUAACACGUGGAUAACCUACCUAUAAGACUGGGAUAACUUCGGGAAACCGGAGCUAAUACCGGAUGAUAUUUUGAACCGCAUGGUUCAAAAGUGAAAGACGGUCUUGCUGUCACUUAUAGAUGGAUCCGCGCUGCAUUAGCUAGUUGGUAAGGUAACGGCUUACCAAGGCAACGAUGCAUAGCCGACCUGAGAGGGUGAUCGGCCACACUGGAACUGAGACACGGUCCAGACUCCUACGGGAGGCAGCAGUAGGGAAUCUUCCGCAAUGGGCGAAAGCCUGACGGAGCAACGCCGCGUGAGUGAUGAAGGUCUUCGGAUCGUAAAACUCUGUUAUUAGGGAAGAACAUAUGUGUAAGUAACUGUGCACAUCUUGACGGUACCUAAUCAGAAAGCCACGGCUAACUACGUG
rnacentral:rRNA from 1 species